ensembl:lncRNA
GCUGGGGGGCGGGGAUUCCGACCCGCAUGUAUUUGCAUAUAUUAUAAUGCUGACCAAUGACUGGAGAAAACACUGACGACGCGGCUGCGGUCACGGACAAACUCGCACGUGUCUGUUCGGGAAUGGCAGAUGCCGAGAGGUCCAGCGUUUACAUUACCGAAAGUGACAGCCUGAGGUGUUCUUCAGUAAAUUGGACUACCGGACAGGAGGACCUGAGGCCCCACCGCAUUAUUUUUGGAUGCAGCAGCAGACUGAACCUCGACUGAAACCUGCUCCAUCAUCUCAUCUUUGCAGAUGUCCAUUUAUAAAGCAUCAACAACUCAAAGGAGCUGACCUCAGAUUCAGACCUCAGCACCACCCAGUGACAGCAGACAGAUCAUCCUAUAUCUUCAAUCUUUGUAGUAACUCCAAAAUUAACUGAAGAAAACAGUACAAAGGUUAAAGUACCACAUGUGCUGUCAGUGAAAGCUGCAGCUGUUUUAUUGAUAAAUUUAAAGACAAAAAGUCAAAAGGAUUAAUCACCCCUGUAACUGUGUCACUAUACAUCAGCAUUAACAGUACCU